CAACAUCUAUCUGGCAUUUAAAUAUUCAACUUUAAGUCCUAAUCAUGAUCCAGGGCUCUUAAAAGAGGAAAUUAACAACAAAACAGUCGACAAAAGGGUCUAACAAUUCCCUAACUUCCUUAUUGCAUACUCACACAGAGCAUAAUUAACAACAAAACAGUCAACAAAAGGGUCUAACAAUACCCUAACUUCCUUAUUGCAACCUCACAGAGCAUUCACACCUGCUUGCGGUGCAGUCACAUCAAGCUGAAAAAAAGAUACAUACACAUCAAUCAGAGAGAGAAACAACUGAAACAACAUAAAUGAAUUCUAGCCUACAAAUAUCAAUUGCACAGGUUAAAAAAAUAAAAAAUAUUAGAAUCAAAAAAUCAUUUAGUUGGUUAAAGCUUUGCCUUUAUUUCUUAUAGAAAUGGAAGUGAAUUUGACUUUUCCAGACGGGGUACAUUUAGAAGUUAAAGUGCAGAAUUAUACUGGUUCAUUGGAAAAUCAACGAUUGAGAUUUAAAUGACUAUAUGGUUUGUAAAUUUAAUCCAAUUGAUUCUUCAAUGAACGGUUAUCAUUGCACUUUAUCCUCUAUGCACCCCUUCAAAAUAGAGAAGCCAAAUGGAAAUACUUCUCUUACUUAUCUUACAAAAGAAAAAGAGAAAAGUAGAGCCAAUUUGUAUCUAAAACAAACAAACUUGCAGAUAGUUACAGAUAAAAAUAAAUUUGUAUCUAAAAGAAACAAACUUGCAGACAGUUACAGAUAAAAAUAAAAUAAUUAUUUUCACUCUUAGAUCAUAAAAUCUCACAAACAAGAUUGACUAUCAUCAUAAAUAAAGGUAAAUGCUUCGUAUCACUUACCAUCGUGAUUCACCACAGUUGAGAAUACAAACAAGGUAUUUACCACCAAUCACCGACAGUAUAUAGCCUGGUCAAUGAAUGGUGGAAUUUGUUUUAUUUCAGUGCCAAGUUCUUGUUCAAUCCUAUACCUGGAAACAUAGAGAUACAAACACAUCAGAAAUCAACAGAAAGUAGCUCUGAAAUUCAUAUCAAACAAAAAUACUUACAGAUUGAAGCGAUCCUCAUAGGUUAUCAAGUUCACUGCUAAACCGAGGUGCCCAAACCUCCCGGAUCGACCAACCUGCAUAUCAACAGAACAUUCAUGAGAACCCAUACAGAGAAUCAUUAUCGAGGUAGGGGAGAAGGAAGAAAUCAAACAUACCCUGUGCAGAUAUGUUUCUGAGUUCUUGGGAAAAUCAAAAUUAAUAACAACAUUCACUGCUUGGAUAUCUAUUCCUCGAGUGAAAAGAUCUGUGUUCCAAAUGAUAAAAACAAGAAGUUAACCAUCAGAUCUGUUAUAAAUCUUUUACUAUAACACACAUUAUCACUCAAAAUAUCACCAUUGCAUUAACGAAUUACAUUAAUCAUAUAAAUUAUGCUACUAUUAACUUAUAAAACUGAUUUCCAACAAAUAAAUGGAUAUAAUAUCAGAAAUAAAAGGAAAUAAGAUAAGAAAAAGCUACAUAUUUAAGAAAGUCGCAGUAAAUACAAACAAAAAAAAAAAACACCCUAGCUCAUCUAUAGAAGGAUACUGAAUUGCCAUUAACAUUAGCAUACCAGUACAAACGAGAUUCCUGCAUGCACCAUUGCGGAAGUCGUGGAAAACUCUAUUACGGUGGUCUUGCAACAUCUUUGCAUGAAUAUAGAAACAUGAAUACCCUAGUUCAGUGAUUUUCUUAGCAAGGAGUUCAACUCGAUUUACCGAAUUGCAGAAGAUGAUGGAUUGGUUUAUUUGCAGCUGAAAAAGAAGCCAUUAUUACUAUCAUAUUCAAAUCUUGCAAAUAAGAAAAUCUACAGUAUCUUGGCAUGGACAUCGUAUACCUUAGAAAAAAGAGUAUUUAGGCAGUGGACUUUCUGCCUCUCCUCCACAAAUGCAUAAAAUUGUGUAAUACCCUUCAGGGUUAGCUCAUCCAUAAGGUUAAUGAUAUAUGGCUUACGAAGAUAUCUAUCUUUGAAGUCCUUUACAGUAACAGGAAAUGUAGCUGAAAACAUUAGGAUUUGACGGGUUGGGGGAAGAAAUUGAAUCAGCUGCUCUAUUGAAGGCUGGAACUCUGGGGAGAGAAGUUUAUCAGCCUGAGAGAGAGAAAGAAAUAUAAAACUUAGCUCAAUUGCUGUGCAUUCAAUUCUUUAAGAGUUCAAAAUUGCUUUUUUCAACGCAAAAUAUAUACUUUUGGAUUUUUUAACGCACAUGUUAGCAAGACCCUUCGUAAAUUUCAGGAAACUGUCAUUACCUCAUCCAUGACAAGCAUAGAACAAUCUUUCAGAACACAGACACCCUUCUUUGCAAGAUCCAAUAUUCUUCCGGGAGUACCAACUAGCAGAUGAACAGGUUGAUAUAAACGCAUAAUGUCAUCUUUCAGACUGGUACCACCUGUUGUGACCAUAACUUGAAUUUGUAAAUGUUUUCCAAGCUCUUUACACACUUGAGAUGUUUGCAGAGCCAAUUCUCGUGUUGGAACCAGUAUAACAACUGCAUCACAAAACAAAACAAAACAAAACAAAAGGUGAUGAUUAAAUAAUUGGUAGAACCUAAAUCUAUAAUCACUCAAAAACAAACUGGUCAUGAAAUAACUAAAAGCAAUUAAAAAUUAAAGCUAGCAUCAAUACAACAAAAAACAUCCUUUGCUAUUUUCAAUUAACUUUGACAAUUGGCACCAAGAAACUGUCAGAACAUUUGUUAUGAAACAAAAUAGAAGACUCAGUAGGCCAUAACACAAUUUUGUUGAGUAAUUUAUCUAUAAAUAAUAAAUUAUGAAUUAAUAUCAAGAACAUGGAACAAUUGAUGGAUACACAAAAUACUGUAUAGUAGCCUCACCUAACUUAGACUCCCUCCGCCGUGAAAUAUAAGUGAAAUUUGACCAAAUUAUGCAUAUUAAGAAAAGUAGCUGAUCACAUUUAAUCAAUGCAAUUUCAAUAAUAAGCAAGCACAUUUCCUAAAUUACCCUUCAUGACUAAUAAUAUGAUUCAUUGAAAAUACAAAAAUCAAAUGAGAUGUAUGCUAACAUUAAAUAAGAGAGUAGUGCAAUUUGCUUAUAUUGCAUUCAAAAAAUAUAUUAAGAGUUUUGCUUAUAAUUCAUUAGGGAGAGAGUGCCUUCAUCACAUGCUAUGAAGCACGGACACACCUCGGAUUAGGCGUGUCCCGAAACGAAAGUGAAGGAAGGGGAUAAUCAUUUAUACUAGACUUCAGAUCCUCGGACACUCCUCUAACUGAGUGCUGACAACAAGCAGUAGGCUACCAGAAUGAAACAGAGACAUAAUAAGGAUAAUCAUUUAUACUAGACUUCAGAUCCUCGCGUAAACAAAGUGAAGGAAGCGCACCUUGAAUAAUAUUGUUAUCUUGAUCAAUUUUUUCCAAUGCAGGAAUGCUAAAUGCAGCUGUUUUGCCUGUUCCAUUUUUAGCCCUAGCAAGAAUGUCACUGCCAGUAAGGGCAAUUGGAAUGCUUUCUUCUUGGAUAGGGGAAGGCCUUUCAAACCCCUUCUCGUAUAUUCCCAUUAGCAGCUCACGCUUCAAAAAGUAAUCCUCAAACUCAUUUCCCUUAGUUGCUGUCACGUCCUGGGAAGAAAAAAUAACAUAAGAUCAAAACUACACAAUGUUUAAAUGACUACCCUAAGAUGAUAACAUUUAGCAGGCCUUCAAAAGGAUAUUAUGAAAUAUCAUUUGAAAAUAUAGCUACAAUCUGAUCUAGCACUUAAUUUAGGAGAAAAAAUUCUUGUUCAAAAAAAAAAUUAGGAUAAAAAAUUAAGUCUAUAAUAAUAAUAUUUGAAGAGUGAGACUGAGUAGUAUACGAGAUUAUUUCCUAGAUUUCUAGAGGAGUAAUAAAUGAUUAAUACUAGAAGAGUUUUCGGUUUUACAAGCAUGUUUAUGCUCUGAAUUUAAAGUCUUAAUUGUCUAAUGACUGAAAGCAUGGGCUAUAGGGUACAAAAAAUUAAAUGAAUCAACAAGAUGAAAACUAAAACCUAUUCAGAGAAUCAACUCCUACAAAAGAUGUGGUCAUGUUCUGUACAAACUCAAAGAUCGCAAUUCUAAACAAAGGGCCUGUUUGUUACGGAUUAAAAUAAAAUUCAUUUUGACAUAAAACAAUUUAGAGAUUAUUUUUUAGAGAUUUUAUGAAAAACUAGAAUCUAUUUUGUGUUUGUUUUCCAUAAUAAAAAUCACUUUUUUUUGAACAAAUAAUUUAUGAUCAAACAUAAUGCAUAUCUUAAAUAACAAUCACUGGGAAAUUGGAGUAUAUAUAGGAUAAUAGCUUUUAUUUGUACAGAAUCAUACCUCUGUUCUAUAGCGUGUAUCAGCUGGUGGAAGCUUUAGUCUUGCCUUCCAAUCUUGUGAACUAUAAAAGCAAAAUUAAUUGAGAAUAAAAUUAGAAGGCAUUCAUUCAUUCCUUAGGAAAAACAAACGGAUUAGCUUUAUCAGGCACUAAUGAUUGAAUUUUACAUGCUAUUUUCAAACCUGUCACAAACUCAUGAUAGAACAAACAUCAAUCCAUACCAUACUAAAUUUGCAACAGCAAGGCAUUGGAAAUUGAUUGUAAAAAAAUCAUCCAAAGUUCUUGAUUAUAUGAAGCAAAAAAAAAACUCUAAUCUGAUUCUUCACUGGAUAGAAAUAAGCAAAUAAAAUCAAGAGUCACUGCAAUCUAUGAUAGGAAAAUUAACUAAACCACAGUGGAAGCAGAUAGACUGCUUUCAACCAAAUCCUACGCAGGAUCGGGGAAGGGGUUACAAGAUCGUAAAUCAGGGCAGCAUAACACGGAUCGUAAGAUCCUAUCAGAUUCAUAAUUCACUUAGAAACAUGUAUAUAGAAUCAUAUAUAUGCAUAAAAAAUAUGUAUGUGGAAAAACACUUUGAAAACCCACAAUUACUCAAUCAAUAAACAAAUAAAUUGUAUACUUAUUAAUUAAAAAAUAAUAUAGCAUUGUACCAAAAAAAAUAUAUAUAAUAUAGCAUACUAAAUUUUCUCUCAUUAUUAUUUUUAAUGCAAACUUUUAAUAUAAUAUGUAUCAAGUUGGCAACAAAAAAAUCACCAAAAAAUACAAGAAAGCAAAACGGUAAAUUAAUAGGCAAACUGGCAAAGUAUGUAAGUAGUAGGUAACAAUGAGUUAGAAACUGAACGUCGCAGCCUUUCGCAUGGUAUUCUAGGGUUUUUUAGGCCUAUGGUGUUUUAAAAAAGCGGGGCACUCGUUUCUACCGGUCUCACGUCUAUGCGCGGCGAUCCCAGCCACUCUCUAAUUUCUGAUUCAAGCCACUCACAAACACGGCAAAGGAUUGCAAGAUCGUGAUAGAGUAACAUUCUACCCUCCAGAUCGGGAUUUUGUCUACCUUACUUUCAACAGUAUAAGAAAGAAGAAGAAGAAAAAAAAACUGAGCUCAAACUCUCAGGCUAUCAAAAUCAACAAACAUUAACAGCAAAUAUCCUUCAUAAGAAUAUAGACAUCUCUCAUACAAUUCAAAAUUCAACACGACAAACAUAUAAACUGUAUUCAUUAUUCCCAUCAAAAUGCAUUUGUCUGCAUAACAGUCACAAACACAGCAAUAUUAGCAAUCGCAGAUCACGGAAAUAGUGGUUUGUUCAAAUUCCACUACACAACAAUGCUAUAGCACUUCCUUCAAAAAACAAAAAAAAAAUGCUAUAGCACCACUAUAGCCACUAUCCCAAAAUAUUUUGUACUAAAUAGUGUAUCAUGGAAAAAUAGCAGUUUGUUUAAAUUCCACUAUGUAGUGGCGCAAAUAGCCACUAUUUCACAAUAUUAUGUACUAAAUCAUAUAUCGUGGACCAAUGGCAGUUUGUUCAAAUUCCGCUAUGCAAUAGCGCUAUAGCACCACUAUUUAACAACAUUGAAACGCAGACAGAUCGUAAUUACAAGACAAACACACAAACAAAUAGACAAAUGUAAAAAGUCAAAAGACCAAAGAGUAUCCACCUAGAGUCAUUUGCUUCAGACUGUACAGUCUUCUCAACCUCCUCGACAACGUUGGUGUCGGUGCCACCACCCAACUGGUUCCUCCUCAACCACUGUUGUUGUUGCUGCUGCUGUUGAUUCUGCUGUUGAUUCUGUUGUUGAUUCUGAUAGUGUUGCUGAUGCUGAUUUUGCAUCAUGUGCCUCUGCACAUACUGUUGUUGUUGUUGAUAUUGAUGAUGUGGUCUCUGUUGAAACCCGGUGUUCGAGUUCGAGGUCAAACCACCACCACCACCACCACUACCACCUCGUCCUAACCCAAUCCCAGGUGGAUAUCUCCCUCUAUUGUUAUUGUUCAUGAUUCGAAGUUUCAAAUCCAAAAAAUUUCAACCCAAAAAUAAUGUACAAUAAACUAAACUCAACUACAAACCUAGGUUUUCUUCUGAAUCAGUGAAACGAUAACUAUACCCAAAUCCCGUAAAACUAUUAAUUCUCAAAAUGGGGUUACAAUUAGAGACUGAACUAACGAAAAGUGCAUAGAAAAAUGUGAAAUUUCUAAAAGUAUGAUAAAUUGAUAAUCACCCAAAAAAAUUGGGUAGGGUUGAGAAUUUGACCGAAAAUUGAGGAUUUUUGUACAGAUCUACGCUACAAGAGAUGUAUGAGGGUUUGAUUUUGAUGAUUAGGUUUGAAUCGAAAAGCAAUUUGUUGAAGAAUCGAAGAGAGGAAAAUUGAUUUGAAGGGUUAGGGCGAAAAAAGAGUAAGGUUUCAGUUUCAAUGUUGUUUCAUUUCGAAUUGUACGUACAAAAAACUUGUUAGUUUGUGGAUUGAGAAUUGUUGUUCCCGCAUUCGAUAAGGAAAUCACGGAUAAAAUACAUUUUUGUCCCCUCAGCAGUUAACUAUCAAAGAAUUGAAAAUUUGGCUGUAGUUAACUCACUCCUGAGGAAAAACCUCGGCAGAUAACUGUCGAGAAAAAUGUUAUAAGAACAGACAUAGGAGUUUCCAAAACUCUAUUGUUACGAUUUUUGAUCUUCAAGGUGCGAUUUUGAGCUAUUUCAAGUCAUUCCAAUCCAAUUUCAAUCACAUAAACAAGUAAGUUUUUUUAAUCCUAUUGCAUUGUUGUUUUGUGGUUGAAUUAUUUUUUUUUUUUUGUUAAAUUUUGAUUAUAUAGGUUCGACUAUAUUGAUUUGUUGAUUUUAUGAUAUAUUAGGAUAGUUUAGGUUAGAAUUGUUAGAGAACUUUUUAUUGAAUUGUUAGGUUUAGGUUUUGAUGAAUCGUUGUAGAAUUGUUAGAAUUGUUUAGGUUUAGGUGUAGGUUUUGAUGAUAGUUUAGGUUUAGGUAUAGUUUUUUAUUUUACGAUUUUAUGGCAUUGUUGUUUAGUUAGGUUUUGAUCGCCAUUUUUUUUUAAUGUAAAUAUGUCUUAAAAUCAGAAUCAGGGUAAUGUUCAGGGUGAUGAGAAGAACAAAGAAAAAUCGCAUAUGACGUGGCACGGAAUUGUUUGUGAUGGUUCCGAAAAAAAGAAGGGUUCGAAGGUCCCGGUGUACAAUCACUCGAGGUUGAGGAGGAGCGGGAGGACAUGUUAUUUUGGUCCUCAACAAAAACAAGGCGCCACAGGGACUGUAGCGGGCAACCCGAUUGACUUGUGUGACGAGGAAGAAUGAAUGUAAAGACUUUUAAUGUCUGAUUGUUUUGGAUUUUUUAUGUUUUAUUUUUGUGUCGCGCACAUUUUGUUUGACAUUAUGGUACUUAGAAUAAAAUCGCAUUUGAAAUAAUUUCGGUUAAAGUCGCGUUUUGAAAAAUUGCGUAUUCAAAUAAAAACUAAUUAAAUCUAACGUGAAUUCAACUAAUUAAAAUUGUGUAAGGAAUAAAUAAAUUCAAAAGUGAAUAAAUAAGAUAAUUAUUGUUCCAUUCAAAACAAAAUAUAUGUUAUCACAUUACAUUACAUUCCGGAAUGUGCCUUCCAACUGCAACAAUUAUCUUACCAUUGAAUGGGGCAAAUUCAAAUUUGCUAACCAACAGGACUCUAGUAAUUCGAUCAGCAUCUUGAACGGUGGUAUUCAAGUGUCAAAAGAAUGAGGUUCAUUCCUUGACACUUGAAUACCAGCGUGCAAGACGCUUAUCGAAUGUUGGAGUCCUGCCGAUUAACAAGUUUGAAUUGUCCCAUUCAGAGUAAGAUAAUUGUUGGAGUUGGAAUGCACGUUGGAAUGUGCAUUCCAACUCCAACAAUUGUCUUACCUUUGAAUUGGGUCAAUUCAAACUUGUCAAACAAUAGGACUCAAACAUGAAUGUCGAGCGAAAUGCUUUAGUCCUGGCUGUUUGGCAAGUUUGAAUUACCCCAUUUCAGAGGUAAGACAAUUGUUGCAGUUGGAAUGCACCUUACCCUAACUAAUGACGAUCUUCAGUUGAUCUCAGCAACGUCACCCGCAUAUCGAUCCACUGGAACAUGCUGUGCUCCCAAAACAUGCUCGUCACGUUUUUGUCGCUCGUUAAUUUCACCCAAGUGAAUGAUACUCUCCUCUCGUCGAGCGUUGGACGUUUAUACCGAACGUGUUCCACCCUCCUUGUGUCUAUGGGGUUGACUCCUUGGUUGAAUUCAGUCAGUUCAUCCUUGAGACCUCUUAACGUUACACCAAGGCACCGAACCUUCAACCUCUGAGGUUCUCCGCCGUUGAAUUGUGCAUGAACGUCGAUCCACCCGACAAUUGUUUCAAAUCUACACAAUAAGAAAUAAAAAAAAAAUCGAUGAAAAACUCAUUCAAACAUUUCAUCAAACACUUGAUGUGCAAAUUAUACAUAGACUCUAAAAAUCAUAAAAAUAACCCUAAAAUUAUAAAUCAUAUACUCUUACUAAAAUAAAAAAAUUAAUCAUAUACUAUAACAUAAAUCAUUCAACUUAUGUUUAACAUAAAUUUUUUUGUUAUAACCUAAAAUAUAACAAAAUUAUUCAACUUAUAUUUACUCUUAAAAUAAAUCAUAUACUCUUACUAAAAUAAAAAAAUAAAUAUAAAACACCAAAUUAAAAUAUAACCCUAAAAUUUUAAACUAUAACAUAAUCAUCAUGCAAACAUUUUAACUAAAUUAAUCAACUAACAUCUAAUCUAAAAAUGAUUUAUAACAUGUAAAUCUAAUUAAAAACUAAAAUAAAAAAAUAAAUAUAAAACACCAAAAUAAUAAAUAACCCUAAAAUUCUAAAUUAUAACAUAAACAUCAUGCAAAUAUUUUAACAACAUUAAUCAACUAACAUCUACUCUAAAAAUUAAUUAUAACAUGUAAAUCUACUCAAAAACUAAAAAAAAAAAAAAAUCUACUCAAAAACUAACAAAUAAAAACAUUUAUAAUAACUAAAAUGUAAGUUAAUAACAUUAUAAUUACUUACUUGUGAUUUUGUUGAAUAAAUUUGGUUGGGUUUUUUAGAGAGAUUUGUGAGAGAGAUUUGAAAUUUUGGAAGAUGAGAUGGGAUGAAUAAUGGAUGAGAGAGCUUCUGUCAGAUUUGUAGCAGAAAAUCCUCGGCAGUUAACUACCGAGGUUUUCCUUCGGCAGUUAACUGCAUCCGGAUAUUGAAUUCUUCGGCAGCUAACUGCUGAGGGGGCAAAAACGUAUUUUACUCGUGUGUCUCAGCCUUAUGCAAUGUGUCAACAACAAUUCUCAUGUGGAUUUGUGCUGCCCAUUUUUCAAUAUCGGUGAAAUAACAAUACCCCUCUUUUUCUUUCAAAAAAAUAAAAAAUAAUAAUACCCCUCUUUUCGAUGAAACUCACAACUACAAGAUCUUGAGAUUAAAAUAGAAUAAAAACUUUUUAAUAAAUUUUACAUACAAUUGUGAAAUCUCACGUUUAAACUAAAUAAAAACGUUUAAUUAAACAACAAUUUUUUAGGAAGUUUAAUUAAACAACAUUAGCAUUACUAGUAUGAUAGCACGAGGGAUCAACGUACGUAUUAAAUUUUGUGUCUAAAAAACGUACAUAUUAAAUUUGCUGUUCAACAAAAAAAUAUGUAAAUGUUAAAUUGUAAUAAAAAUAUUAUUUUAAAUUGAAUUGAAAAUUAAUUAACAAAAAAAAAUUACAUCUCACACAAUGUUAGUGAUAGGUUAAGUUAUUUGACAUAAGUAAAGUAAGAGAUUUUCACUUCGAAGAGAUUUGCACUAUAAUCAUUAAAGAUUACAAACGUUCGAUCACAUAAUAAAAAAACUAAAUGCUCAAGCACAACUAAAAGAGACUUCUCACACUCUAUCUUAAUCAAAUAAGAGAUGGUUUGGUUUUACACUUAAUAUACAACCAGAUGUGUAAACAAUUACAAAACAUAGUAGACUCUGAGACUUAAGAAUUUCUAAGAUGAUAAGUUUGUAAGAAAUUCGAAGUUCAAAUGCGCUUUGAUUUUGACUGAGUAAUGACACUUUAAUUAUUAAAGUCUUCAGCUCCAUGUGUAGAGAAAGAUAUAAUAGACAAUGGAGAGAUGUCAGCGCAUAUUUUAAUUUUUGAUAAGCUUGAUCAUAGAUGUUAAAAUGUUUCUUGAUUUGGUUAAUGUCGUUGAAAAGUCGUUUGAAAUCCCCUUGCUUCAAAAGAAAUUAUCCGUUCAUUACAAUUGUCUUUGAAGUUCUUUGUUUGUUUCUGCAAGUGGUAAGAAGACAAAGUGUACUACCUAAGUCUGAUAGUGACAUCUUCAGAAGACGACAAUUUUGACGUGUCAUUCAGAGUCUUCGGAGCUUUCUGACCUUCGGAGUCUGAUGUCCUUUGGAAGGUACUUCUUCAGAGUGCAGGACUUCAAAGUCUGAUCCUCCAGAAGUUAUACUUCUUCAGAGUCUAGUCUAGAACUUCAACUUCUCUUUAAAUUCCAAUUGCUCUUGUAUAUGUUCUUCCAUAACCAAAACUUGAUUUGAUACAUUAAAUUUUAGUUUUGGUUCUCAGCACUUGAACAUACAUUAGCAUAUCCAAUUGUUCUUUUAAGAGCUACUGUAUAAAACUCAUUUUGUGUCAACAAAUUCAACAUGAUUCUCAAACAUUGAUAAUGAAAAUAAUUAAUCUGUUAGUUGCAUACCGAUUCAACUGAAACCUCACAGCAUCCAUUUUAACAAAUCACUAUCUUUUGUCAAUAGUUAAAAAUCUUUAAAAAGAAUCUACUAAAAGAAUUUGUAGUUGUCAUAUAUGAUAGUGUAGAACUUGUUCUUUGACCUCAAAAGGGAUCCUAUAGUGUUUUGUGCUUGUCAUUUAGGCUAAAUUCAGCAAUCAGCAGCCUAGAACACAUAACUUUGACCCAAAAUCUAACAACUUCUAUUUAUCUUUUUCUUUUGCUUGUUAUUACAAAGCCAACUAAAUUACUUUACAGAGAGUUCUCUAUGUAUAUUAACUUAAGUCUCCUCCAAAACAUAAAACAUUAGAAAAACAACAAAGAGGAGAAAAGUUGGAGAUGGAUGUGACCCUUCCGAAUGUGAUAAUCAGUAAUGACACUCCAGUAGUUGCACUUUCAACCGGAUGGUUCAACCACGACAGUAGGUGCCUCAAAAACAAGGUACUAACUUGUUAGAGAUACAAAUGUGUUUCUUGAUCUUAAAUAGCACCAUGUCAGCAUCAGAAGUAUUAUGGAGGUCCAAAAUUUGAUCAUUGCUACUAGUGUUUUUUCCUCCCCUAACAAAGUAACGACGUACACUUCCCUAUAAAACAUAAUCACCAUCUUGGUCUUAUAAAUAACAAUUGAUCACUAGCAUGAUCUAUGGCCCCGGCCACUAAUCUAUACAUAGAUGUCAUGACCUAAAUAAAUCCUAAAGAAUCAAACAAAAAAUGAUAAAAAAAAAAAAAAAAAUUAAUAUCAAGACGUAAUAAAUGCAAAGUUGCAGUUUCCAUGAGAGAAAAAAAACUACUCCUAUAUUUCUCAGACUCAGUAACUCUUGAUGUUAAUGAUAGUGUGAUUUUUUAUAUUGAAGUAAUGGUAGGAAGUAUUUUACUAACACUGUCACAUAAUGUAAAGGAGAUGUUAAUUUGUUUUUCCACACCAUCACAUAAUUUUAUUGAAGAGCCUUAAACAAAAUGUUGUUAGAUGGAGUACAUACCAAGUACCUGACUAAUUCAUACCACAUUAUGAGCUUAUGUAUGGUUGGAACAUUAGCUACUGGAGUUGCAUUUUUGCUUUGGUUGAUGCCAUGUUUUUCACUUUUGUCAUGUGAACUGAUUGAUGACCUCGAAUGUCAUCCGUGGAUGGCUCGGAUGUACGCAACAGUAUCAAAUAAAUUAUCCAAAGAAAUUGCAGAUAUACCAUCAUCACCAUUUAACAUGCAAACAUAAUAACGAGAAGCAAAUUCCCAAGGGAACAAGCAAAUCUGUGUGACCACAACGACAAAACAAAAAACUCAAAUGUCAUAAUGGAAUAGCCAAUAAAGGAAGGAGUGUCAUAGUAAGGCAUAUUCCUAAACAGAUUACCAACAAAAACGGGAAGAUCUAGAGUAAUAACAGUUGCUAACAACCACAUUUGCGAAUGCAAUCCACGAAAACUAAAACAAGACCCAAAACAUCUAUCUGGCAAUUAAAACCCCGUUACUCAACUUUAGGUCCUAAUCAUGUUUCAGGGCUCUUAAAAGCAGAAAUUAACAACAAAACAGUCAACAAAAGGGUCUAACAAUAACCUAACUUCCUUGUUGCAUCCUCGCGCAGAGGAUAAUUAACAACAGAAUAGUCAACAAAAGGGUCUAACAAUACCCUAACAUCCUUAUUGCAUCCUCAUGCAAAGCAUUCCCACCUGUUUGCGUGGCAGUUACAUCAAGCUGAAAAAAAGAUGCAUACACAUCAAUCAGCAAGACAAACAACAGCAACUACAUAAAUGAAUUCUAGUCUACAAAGCAGUAAAAGAAUAAAUAUAUAGUGCACAACUACAAGUAAAAAGAAUAUUUAAAUUAGAAUAAAAAAAUCAUUCGGUUGGUUAAACAUUGGCUUAUUUCUUAUAGAAAUGGAAAUUAAUUUGACCUUUCUAAAAGAGGGGUGCAUUUAAAAGAUAAAGUACACAAUUGAACUGGUUCAUGGGAAAACCAAUUAUUGAGAUUUAAAAGACUAUAUGGUUUGUUAAUUUAACCCCAUUGAUUCUUCAAUGAAUAGUUGUAAUUGCAAUUUAUCCUCUAUGCACCCCUUCAUAAUAGAGAAGCCAAAUGGAAAUACUUCUCUCUAUAGAAAAAAGAAACCGAGAAAAAUAGAGUUGGUUUCUAAAAGAAACAAACAAGAUUCACUAUCAUCAUAAAUAUUAAAGGAAAAGGCUUCCUAUCACUUACCAUUGUUAUUCACCGCACUUUGAGAAUACACAAACAAGGUAUUUACCACCAAUCACCGACAAUAUAUGGCCUGGUCAAUGAAUGGCGGAAUUUGUUUUAUUUCAGUGCCAAGUUCUUGUUCAAUCCUAUACCUGGACAACAUAGAGAUACAAACACAUCAGAAAUCACCAGAAAGUAGAUCUGAAAUUCAUAUCUAACAAAAGGCUUAGGAUCCACUAAAGCGAGUAAAGAGUAAAGAAUAAAGUGAGAAAAUCAAGGGUUAUUAUUAUAACAAACUCGUGAUUUGUUGUUGUGUACGUACAAUAUCUACUUUGAAUUUUUUUAAUUAAUGGUUAAUAUUGUCCACUUUACUCUCUAAAGUGAGUUGCUAACUUUAGUCUAAAGUGAGUUGCUCGCUUUAGAGGAGCCGGAUCCCUAACAAAAAUACUUACAGAUUGAAGCGAUCCUCAUAGGUUACCAAGUUCACUGCUAAACCAAGGUGCCCAAACCUUCCGGAUCGACCAACCUGCAUAUCAACAGAAUAUCAAUGAGAACCCAUAAAGAGAAUAAUUAUCAAGGUAGGGGAGAAUGAAUAAAUCAAACAUACCCUGUGCAGAUAUGUUUCUGAGUUCUUGGGAAAAUCAAAAUUAAUAACAACAUUCACUGCUUGGAUAUCUAUUCCUCGAGUGAAAAGAUCUGAGUUUCAAAAUGAGAAAAGCAAUAAGUUGACCAUCACUGUUAUAUAUAUUGUAUUAUAACACACAUCAUCACUCAAAAAUCAUCAUUGCACCAAUGAACUGCAUUAAUCAUAUAAAUAUAAAUGACAGUUGCUUUUCUGACAUAUAAAACUUCCUAAAAACACAUGUAAAUGAUGUUUUUGCCCCCAACGGUAGUUAACUGCCGCUGGAUAGAUCCGGCGGUAGUUAACUACCGCUGUAUACCAACACAGCUUAAAAAAAAAAAAAAAGCUCCAACGGUAGUUAACUACUGUGGAGCAUGAAAAUUUAGUUGUUUUCUACGCAAACACACUGAGUGCAUGUGUGCUCACUGUAUAUCAUGUUGGCAGAGGCACCUCCUCCUCAUUUGGAAAGAAAACAAAAAGGGUCAAGAUUCCUUGCCCAUUCUUCUACUCUUUGACAGCUAGCUAGUCCAAUGCUUACUUUCUUUUGCCAUCGAUGUUAAAUCAAAUCAACCCACUUUUUUCUUUCUCUCAUGUUGACAGCUAGCUUGUCCAAUGUUAUUUGUGUCAUACCGUCAUUAAUCAUUAUUCAUUACUAAUGCUUUCUAGUUCCUUUUUUGUUAUGAAAAGAUGAUGAGCUUGAAGCAACUACAGUGACAUAAAUUGAAAAAAUUGAAUUCAGCGGUAGUUAACUGCUGCCGGUUUGCCCAACGGUACUUAACUACCGUUGGGGGUAAUUUCGUCAUUUACUUGUGUUUUUAGGAAACUUUUGAUGUCAGAACAGCACUUUUCAAUAUAAAUUAUGCUACUAUUAACUUAUAAAAAUUAUUUCCGAAAAAUGAAUAGAUAUAAUAUCAGAAAAUAAAGGAAAUAAGAUCAAAAAAAGCUACCUAUUUAAGAAAGUCAUAGUAAAUACAAAAAACAUGAUUGCUCAUCUAUAGCAGGAUACUGAAUUGUCAUUAACACUUAACACUAACAUACCAGUACAAACGAGAUUCCUGCAUGCACCAUUGCGGAAGUCAUGGAAAACUCUAUUACGGUGGUCUUGCAACAUCUUUGCAUGUAUAUAGAAACAUGAAUACCCUAGUUCUGUGAUUUUCUUAGCAAGGAGUUCAACUCGAUUCACCGAAUUGCAGAAGAUGAUGGAUUGGUUUAUUUGCAGCUGAAAUAGAAGCCAUUAUUACUAUCAUAUUCAAAUCUUGCAAAUAAUAAAACCUACAAUAUCUUGGCAUGGACAUCACAUACCUUAGAAAAAAGAGUAUUUAGGCAGUGGACUUUCUGCCUCUCCUCCACAAAUGCAUAAAAUUGUGUAAUACCCUUCAGAGUAAGCUCAUCCAUAAGGUUAAUGAUAUACGGCUUACGAAGAUAUCUAUCGUUGAAGUCCUUUACAGUGACAGGAAAUGUAGCUGAAAACAAUAGGAUUUGACGGUUUGAAGGAAGAAAUUGAAUCAGCUGCUCUAUUGAAGGCUUGAACUCUGGGGAGAGAAGUUUAUCAGCCUGAUAGAGAGAGAGAGAGAGAGAGAGAGAGAUAUAAAACUUCUGUUUGAUGUAUAACUCACUACUAAAAGCAAGGAUGUUUAAAGUGCCAUAGAAUGAACAUUAGUGAAGGACACAGGUGAACAUGUUCAGAUAUAUGUUUACAACACAAAUCAGAUGCAACAGAGUUGUUGCAUCUGCUUCAAACUUGAUAACACAACUUACUCAAGGAUAGAAAUGCCUCAAAAGUCAUGCAUUCAAUUUUGUAAAAGUUUAAAAAUAGUUUUUUUCAAUGCAAAAUUUCUACUUAUGGAUUCAUUACGGUACAUGUUAGCAAAGACCCAUUGUAAAUUUUAGGUAAACUGUCAUUACCUCAUCCAUGACAAGCAUAGAACAAUCUUUCAGAACACAGACACCCUUCUUUGCAAGAUCCAAUAUUCUUCCGGGAGUACCAACUAGCAGAUGAACAGGUUGAUAUAAACGCAUAAUGUCAUCUUUCAGGCUGGUACCACCUGUUGUGACCAUAACUUGAAUUUGUAAAUGCUUUCCAAGCUCUUUACACACUUGAGAUGUUUGCAGAGCCAAUUCUCGUGUUGGAACCAGUAUAACAACUGCAUCACAGAACAAAAUAAAAGGCAAUGAUCAAAACAUUGGUAGAACCUAAAUCAAUAAUCACUCAAAAAACACAUCCUCUGCUAUUUUCAACUAACUUCGACAAUUGGCAACAAAAAACACAAUUUUGUCAAGUAAUUAUCUAUAAACAGUAAAUUAACAAUUAAUAUUAAGAACAAGGAAUAAUUAAUGGAUAUACAAAAGACUGUAUUGUAGCCUCACCUAACUUAUAAUCCCUCCGGCGUGAAAUAUAAGUGAAAUUUGACCAAAAGAUGCAUAUUAAGAAAAGUAGUUGAUCACAUUUAAUCAAUGCAAUCUCAAAGAAAAAAAUAAGCACAUUGCCUAAAUUACCCUUCAUGACUAAUAAUUUGAUUCAUUGAAAAUACAAAAAUUAAAUUAAAUGAGGGGUAUUUUAGAGAUGCUAACAUUAAAUAAGAAAACUUUUCAAUUUGCUUAUAUUGCAUUCCAAAAACAUAUGAAGUAAAUUGUGCUUAUAACUCAUUAGAGUGUACAUUCGUCAGAUGUUGAUAUUCUUGACAGCAAUGAUGGAAUGUCUAAAACAACAAUAACAACGUAUCUACUAAAAACAAGUUUGUUCCAAGGUAACUCCAAAAUUUAUAUUAAAAAUGAAAAAUCUCAGGAACAAAUUGCUCCCAAAACGUAAGUGUGUUUUUGGUCAAACUGGUGAAAACAGAUAUGUAGCCAAACUUGUUUAUCUGAAUACAAAACGAAAUUAUUAAACUAGCAGGACCUACCCUUUAACAAAUUCCAUUUUAUUUUUAUUUUUCAAAUUUAAUAAAACACAGAUGAGUGUGCUGACAAUAAAUAAGCAGUAGGCUACCAGAAUGAAACUGAGACAUAAUAAGGCAUAAACAUGUAUAACUUCAGAUCCUCAAGUAAGCAAAGAGAAGGAAGCACACCUUGAAUAACAUUUUUAUCUUGAUCAAUUUUUUCCAAUGCAGGAAUGCUAAAUGCAGCUGUUUUGCCUGUUCCAUUUUUAGCCCUCGCAAGAAUGUCACUGCCAGUAAGGGCAAUUGGAAUGCUUUCUUCUUGGAUAGGGGAAGGCCUUUCAAACCCCUUCUCAUAUAUUCCCAUUAGCAGCUCACGCUUCAAAAAGUAAUCCUCAAACUCAUUUCCCUUAGUUGCUGUCACGUCCUGGGUAGAAAAAUUAACAAAAGGUCAAGACUGGACAAUGUUUAAAUGACUAACACCAAGAUGAUAUAACAUUUACCAGGUCUUCAAAACGAUAUUAUGAAAUAUCAUUUGGAAAUAUAGCCACAAUCUGACAUCUAGCACUUAAUUUAGGAUAAAAAAAAUUAAUUCUAUAAUAAUAAAAAAUAUUAUUUCCUAGAUUUCUAGAGGUGUAAUAAAUGAUUAAUACUAGAGAAGAGUUUUCAGUUUUACAAGCAUGCAUGUUUCUACUAUAAAUUUUAGAGUCUUAAUCGUCUAAUAACUGAAAGCACGGGCUAUACGGUACAAAAGAUGACAUGAAUCAACAAAGUGAAAGCUAAAACCUAUGCAGAGAAUCAAUUCCUACAACAGAUGUGUCCUGUUCUGUACAAACUUGAAGAUCGCAACCCCAAAGAAUAUAUGAUCAAAACAUAAUGUAUAUUCUAAAUAAACAAUCACUUGGAAUCAAGGUAGUCAAAGUCGAGAUGCAGUAACAGGGUGGGGUGGGUCACAAGAUCGAAAAUCAGGGCAUCGUAACAAGGGUCGUAAAAUUCACUUUGAAACAUGUAUAUAAAAAAUCAUGCAUAUGCCUAAAAAAUAUAUAUAAGUGGAAAAACACUUUGAAACACCACAAUUACUUAAUCAAUAAACAAAUAAAUUUUAUACUUAUUAAAAAAAAAAAUAUAGCAUACUAUCUUUUCUUUCGUUAUUAUCAUUGUCAUCAUCAUCAUAAUCAUAAUAACUAUUAUUAUUAAUGCAAACUUUUAUCAUUAUAUGUAUUAAGUAUGACAACCAAAAAAAUUACCAAAAAUAAAAAGAAAGCAAAACGGUAAAUUAAUAGGCAAAGCGUGUAAGUAGUUGGUAACAAUGGGUUUGAAACUGAAGGUCGCAGCCUUUCAUGGUAUUUUGGGGUUUUUGUAAGCCAGUGUCAUUUUGAAAAAAGGAAAGCGGACCCAGCCUGUGAAACACAUCUCCGUGUAACACAAUCUGCAUCUGCAGAACUCGUUUCUACCAGUCUAACGUCUAUGCACGCGGCGAUCCCAGCCACUCGCACUAAUUUCUGAUUCAAGCCACUCACAAACACGGCAAGAGGUUGCAAGAUCGUGAAAGCGUAGGAUUCUAUGCUCCAGAUCGCGAUUUUGUCUACCUCACUUGGAUUAUAUAUAUAUAUAAAGGAUAAUAGCUUUUAAUUGUUCAGAAUCAUACCUCUGUAGGCAAAACGGUAAAUUAAUAGGCAAAGCGUGUAAGUAGUUGGUAACAAUGGGUUUGAAACUGAAGGUCGCAGCCUUUCAUGGUAUUUUGGGGUUUUUGUAAGCCAGUGUCAUUUUGAAAAAAGGAAAGCGGACCCAACCUGUGAAACACAUCUCCGUGUAACACAAUCUGCAUCUGCAGAACUCGUUUCUACCAGUCUAACGUCUAUGCACGCGGCGAUCCCAGCCACUCGCACUAAUUUCCGAUUCAAGCCACUCACAAACACGGCAAGAGGUUGCAAGAUCCUGAAAGCGUAAGAUUCUAUGCUCCAGAUCGCGAUUUUGUCUACCUCACUUGGAUUAUAUAUAUAUAUAUAUAUAUAUAUAUAUAUAUAUAAAGGAUAAUAGCUUUUAAUUGUUCAGAAUCAUACCUCUGUCCUAUAGCGUGUAUCAGCAGCUGGAAUCUUUAAUCUUGCCUUCCAAUCUUGUGAACUAAACAAAAUUAAUUGAGAAUAUGAUAGAUUGCUUUCAACAGAUAGAAAAAAGCAAAUAAAAACAAGAUUCACUGCACUCUAAGAUAAGAAAAUUACAGUGGAAGCAGAUAAAUUGCUUUCAACAGUAAAAGAAAUUAAAAAAAAAAAGCUGAGCUCAUAUACUCAAGCUAUCAAAAUUACACGUGAACCAUAUCAAUAAACAUUAACGGAGAAAAUCCUUCAUAAGAAUAUCGGCUUCUCUCGAACAGUUACAUAUCAUCUGAUACACUUGGGCAAACAACCACUCAUGCACAAAUAGAUAAACAUCGAAAAAGAUCUCAUGCCCUAACAUCAAAAAUUCAACACCACAAACAUACAAAAAUGUAUUCAUUAUUUGAAAAUGCAUAUGAGUAACAGAGUCACAAACAUGGUAAUAUUGUCAAUUGCAGAUCAUGGAAAAUAGUGAUUUGUUCAAAUUCCGCUACGCAACACUGCUAUAGUACUGCUAUAGUGCUGCUACAGCCGCUUAUCCACAAUAUUUUGUACUAAAUAGCAAAUAGUGGAACAACAGCAGUUUGUUAGUGCUAUAGUGUCGUUGUAGCCGCUAUUUAACAACAUUGAAACACAAGACAAAUAGUAAUUACAAGACAAACACACAAACAAUUAUACAAAUGUAAAAAGUCAAGCAACAAAAAGAGCAAUCACCUAGGGUCAUUUGUUUCAGACUGUACAGUCUUCUCAACCUCCUCGACAACAUUGGUGUCAGUACCACCACCCAACUGGUUCCUCCUCAGCCACUGUUGCUGCUGCUGCUGCUGCUGCUGAUACUGUUGUUGAUUCUGUUGAUGAUGCUGAUAGUGUUGUUGAUGCUGAUUCUGAUUUUGCAUCAUGUGCCUCUGCACAUACUGUUGUUGUUGUUGUUGUUGAUAAUGUGGUCUCUGUUGAAACCCGGCGUUCGCAUUGUUCGGGUUUGAGUUCAAACCACCACCACCACCACCACUACCACUACCACUACCUCGUCCUAACCCAAUCCCAGGUGGAUAUCUCCCUCUAUUGUUAUUGUUCAUGAUUCAAAGUUUCAAAUCCGAAAAAUUUCUACCCAAAAAGAAUGUACAAUUAACUAAACUCAACUACAAACCUAGGGUUUCUUCUGAAUCGCUGAAACGAUAAGUAUACUCAAACCCCGUAAGUCGAUGAAUUCUCAAGAUGGGGUUACGAUUAAAGACUAAAGUAACGAAAUCUUGGAAGAAAAAUGUGAAAUUUCUAAGGGUAUGAUACAACUACAAGAUCACCCAAAAGAAUUUGGUAGGGUUGAGAAUUUGACAAAAAUUUGAGGAUUUUUGUACAGAUCUACGCUACAAGAGAUGUUUGAGUAUUAGGUUUGAAUCGAGAAGCGAUUUGUUGCAGAAAUCGAAGAAAGGAAAAUUGAUUUGAAGGGUUACGGUGAAGGCGCUCUAUGUUUCAGUCUUAGUGUUGUUUCAUUUCCCUAAGUUUUACACCUCAAGCGUCAAGGUCGGUAGGGUAAAGGCGCUCUAAGAGUUGUCUCUAUGUAUCAAACAAUUCUUCCUCUAAAGUGGGGUGCCAUCUUUUAAAAAAAAAUAAUUAAAAAAGGGUCUUCGACCUAAGAGCCGACUAAUUCGAGAGGUCUAAUCCCACCAUUCAUUUGUGGGAGUCCAUUUAAAGUUAGAUCGUAGUUUUGUACGGACUUAAUCCAUCAAAAUUGACACUAGAAAAAACCAAACCCGAAACCUUGACUGGAAUAUCAUCUUGAUGACGUUGUACAUUAGUUAUCUACAUAAAUGAGUUAUUGUCACAAGCUAAAGGGCACCUUGUUUAGAGACCCCUUAACUAUUUGACUAGGGAUUUGAUUUAUGUCUGAUGCAUAUGACGAAACAUAUGUAAAAAGUCUUCAUUUAAUUGCACACGUGAAUAUGAUGAUGAUGACUUCACCUUAUCAUCUAUUUCAAUCUUUUUUUGCUUCAAAUAGUGGAUUCUUUUCUGCUUGCCUAAAUAAAGUAAUUUCAUUCCCUAUACUUGAAUUCUUAAUAGGAGUAAAAUAUUUGUUAAAAAAAAUUAGUCAAAGUAUUUCAUAUAACAAUAGAAUGUUUCUAUAUAGAACUUAAACAACUUAGAGUUAUCCUCGAGUCAGUACGGGAAAAACCUUAACUUGAACGCAACAUCAAGUGAUUCCAUAAGUUAUGAAGUUGCCUGCCACACAUUUAAAAAUUUAUUGAGAUGUAAAUGUGGAUCUUCGACAAGAGCUCCACUCAACUUCCCCAUAAUUUGCAGCAUAGAAAGGUAAUGCUACAAUUUAAUUUAAGCAAUCUAAGAGAAGGACGGUUAAAUUUAGUAAGUUUAACAACUCGACGAUUAGAUAAGAAGUGAUGUAAGUAAAUAAUUAUGUAUCCCUUAUUAUGUAAUUGUUGUGUUUGUACGUGAUGCUCUAAGGUUAUUUCUUGUUAUCACGAAAAAGCUUUAUAAAUAAAAGAAAGAAUCAUAGCAUGAACUUCUUCUUUCAAUAUUCCAUUUUAACCCUAUAAUCUUAAGUCUCCAUAACAAAUAAAAGUUACCAACACUUACUCUGGCACAAGUAGCACACAUUUGGGGUUCCUUAAACUCAAUUAUACAUUUUUUUAAAACACUUAAUUAAUUAUUUUACUUAGUUAACAUCCAAUUUAUUAGUUCUUGUGAGCAUAACUCAGUUAAUCGGUAAGAACAUCACAUUUUAUAUGCAAGGGUCACGGUUCAAACCCCAAAUUUAAUACAUAAUUGAUUAACUCAACACUCUAAUCGACGAGUCUAUAGGAAUACGCAAUGACGACUUUAGUGAAGGGAUCACUAUUGGCCUCAACAAUCGAGUGGUGGGUCAUGUGGACGUUAGGAUUGAGGGAAAAUGUGUCAUCAAAUAUAACGAUAGUUCAUUAGCAAGUGCGUUCAUUCAACAUCUUCAAGUAUUAAAUUCAUUUUGAUAUAUAUUUCAGAUUAUCAAAUUUGAAUCUUUUCUCAAAGUUCAAAAGCAGAAAAAAAAAUUCAAAGGGUUGCAACACAAUUCAAAUACCCUCUUUCUUGUGAAUCUCUUCUCAAAGUUAAGAAUAUAAGAAAAAAUAAACAAAUUUGGUUUUAGGAUGGACUAAAAUUGUGUGAAGGAUAAUUUUGUAGGGACAAAUAACAUAUCUAACCCUUUAAAAUUUGUGCAACUUUUUUCAAGGUUGUGGAAAUUUUGUCUUCUCUAAACAGCUCCUUCAGGUUAAGAUUCCGACUCGACAUAAGAUUUUUUUCAAGAAGAAUUAUAGUUGAUCCUGGUGGUAUUUCUUUUGUUUUCUUUAAUGUGCAUGUACAAUUGGUUUAUCACAUGUCUUUUUUUAGGUUGUGGUAUCUUGUGUUUAGGUGGUUGGAGUGGAAGUUUGUUUUCCCUUCAAAUUUAGCGAAUCUUCUUAGUAUUAUAUAAAACUUAGGUGGAGGAAAAAGGAGAGGUUAUGUUUCUUAUUUACCGGCAAACUAUUGUGUUGACCACGUGUCGAUCUCAAAAUGCUCACCUUUUUGGAUAAGGAGACGUUUGUGCACGCACAGGUUGCAGGUGGAUAAGGUUAAAUUCACCUAUUGAAAAUGGUUAUUAAGAAAACAUUCUAGUCAAAGUUGUUCCUUCUAUGAAUGAUGGUUUUUUUGGUGUUGUUUUACCUUUCAGCUUUCGCUCUUGUUUUAAUGCGGGAGAGAUUCUUUGAUUUUGUCAUCCCAUGACUACUACUUGUACUCAAUUUUAUAUACGUUUGUACUUCUAAUUUUUAUUUAUAUAUAAUAUAUUUGCCAUUCAAAAGAAACCAACACAAAAGAGGUCACAAGAACCUCCUAAUUGUGGUAAACCGUUUUUCACUUUUAUCAUGUGAACUGAUUGAUGAUCAACCUCGAAUGUCAUCCGUGGAUAGCUAGGAUGAAAACAAUAGUGCCAAAUAAAUUAUCCAGAGAAAUUGAAGAUAUACCAUCAUCACCUUUUAACAUGCAAACAUAAUAUGAGAAGCAAAUUCCCAAGGGAACAAGAAAAUCAUUGUGUGAACCACAAUGACAACAAAAGACUCAAAUGACAUAAUGGAAUAGCCAAUAAGGAAGGGGAGCAUCAUAGUAAGGCAUAUUCCUAAACAGCUUACCGACGAAAACGGGAAAAAUCUAGAGUAAUAACAGUCGCUAACAACCACAUAUGCAAAUGCAAUCCACGGAAACAAAAACAAGACCGAACAACUAUCUGGCAUUUAAAACCCUGUUGUUCAACUUUAGGUCCUAAGCAUGUUUCAGGGCUCUUAAAAGCGGAAAUUAACAACAAAACAGUCGACAAAAGGGUCUAUAAAUGCCCUAACUUCCUCUUAUUGCAUACUCACUCGGAGCAUAAUUAACGACAAAACAGUCAACAAAAGGGUCCAACAAUACCCUAACUUCCUUAUUGCAUCCUCAAACAGAGCAUUCACACCUGCUUGUGUGGCAGUCACGUCAAGC
rnacentral:lncRNA from 1 species